GUGGGGAAUAUUGCGCAAUGGGCGAAAGCCUGACGCAGCAACGCCGCGUGUGUGAUGAAGGCUCUCGGGUCGUAAAGCACUGUCAGAAGGGAAGAAACAAAUGACGGUACCUUCAAAGGAAGCACCGGCUAACUCCGUGCCAGCAGCCGCGGUAAUACGGAGGGUGCAAGCGUUGUUCGGAAUCAUUGGGCGUAAAGCGCGCGCAGGCGGCUUGCCAAGUCUGAUGUGAAAUCCCGGGGCUCAACCUCGGAACUGCAUUGGAAACUGGUAGGCUUGAGUAUGUGAGGGGUUAGUGGAAUUCCUGGUGUAGGGGUGAAAUCCGUAGAGAUCAGGAGGAACACCGGUGGCGAAGGCGACUGACUGGAACAUAACUGACGCUGAGGCGCGAAAGCGUGGGUAGCAAACAGGAUUAGAAACCCUUGUAGUCC
rnacentral:rRNA from 1 species